rnacentral:tRNA from 1 species
GGGGGCGCUGUCUAAAAAAUAGCAGCUGAUUUCGACUCAAACUAAUUAUGGUUUCAAACCCAUAGCACCCCU